rnacentral:rRNA from 1 species
UACAGAGGGGGCAAGCGUUGUUCGGAAUUACUGGGCGUAAAGGGCGCGUAGGCGGCCGCCUAAGUCAGACGUGAAAUCCCUCGGCUCAACCGGGGAACUGCGUCUGAUACUGGGUGGCUUGAAUUCGGGAGAGGGAUGCGGAAUUCCAGGUGUAGCGGUGAAAUGCGUAGAUAUCAGGAGGAAUACCUAUGGCGAAAGCAGGUAUCUGGGCCACAACUGACGCUGAGCUGCGAAAGCUAGGGGAGCAAACAGG